CCCGCACAAGCGGUGGAGCAUGUGGUUUAAUUCGAUGCAACGCGAAGAACCUUACCAGGGCUUGACAUGCUGGUGGUACUGACCCGAAAGGGGAGGGACCCUUAGGGGUUGACCUUAAGGGAGCCAGCACAGGUGCUGCAUGGUUGUCGUCAGCUCGUGUCGUGAGAUGUUGGGUUAAGUCCCGCAACGAGCGCAACCCCUACCUCUAGUUGCCAGCGGGUGGAGCCGGGCACUCUAGAGGGACUGCCGGCGACAAGCCGGAGGAAGGUGGGGAUGACGUCAAAUCAUCAUGGCCCUUAUGCCCUGGGCUACACACGUGCUACAAUGGCCGGUACAGAGGGUAGCGAACCCGCGAGGGGGAGCCAAUCCCAAAAAGCCGGUCUCAGUUCGGAUUGCAGGCUGCAACUCGCCUGCAUGAAGGCGGAAUCGCUAGUAAUCGCGGAUCAGCCAUGCCGCGGUGAAUACGAUCCCGGGCCUUGUACACACCGCCCGUCACACCACGAAAGCCGGCAACACCAGAAGCCGGUGGAGCUAACCCCGUAAGGGGAGGCAGCCGUCGAAGGUGGGGCCGGUGAUGGGAAAAGUCGUAACAAGGUAA
rnacentral:rRNA from 1 species